UACGUAGGGCGCAAGCGUUGUCCGGAAUUAUUGGGCGUAAAGAGCUCGUAGGCGGCCAGUUGCGUCUGCUGUGAAAUCCCGGGGCUCAACCCCGGGCGUGCAGUGGAUACGGGCUGGCUAGAGGCAGGCAGGGGAGAACGGAAUUCCCGGUGUAGCGGUGAAAUGCGCAGAUAUCGGGAGGAACACCGGUGGCGAAGGCGGUUCUCUGGGCCUGUACUGACGCUGAGGCGCGAAAGCUAGGGUAGCAAACGGG
rnacentral:rRNA from 1 species